rnacentral:rRNA from 1 species
AAGCUCGUAGUUGAAUUUCGGGGUUAGUAGGUUGGUCAUGCCUCUGGUAUGUACUGGUCUCACUGAUUCCUCCUUCCUUAUGAACCGUAAUGCCAUUAAUUUGGUGUUGCGGGGAAUUUGGACUGUUACUUUGAAAAAAUUAGAGUGUUUGAAGCAAGCUAACGCUUGAAUACAUUAGCAUGGAAUAAUGAAAUAGGACGUUCGAUCUUAUUUUGUUUGGUUUUCUUAGGAUUGACGUAAUGAUUAAUAGGGAUAGUUGGG